UCGAGCGGAACGAUGGAGCUUGCUCCAGGCGUCGAGCGGCGGACGGGUGAGUAAUGCAUAGGAAUCUGCCCGGUAGUGGGGGAUAACCUGGGGAAACCCAGGCUAAUACCGCAUACGUCCUACGGGAGAAAGCAGGGGAUCUUCGGACCUUGCGCUAUCGGAUGAGCCUAUGUCGGAUUAGCUAGUUGGUGAGGUAAUGGCUCACCAAGGCGACGAUCCGUAGCUGGUCUGAGAGGAUGAUCAGCCACAUCGGGACUGAGACACGGCCCGAACUCCUACGGGAGGCAGCAGUGGGGAAUAUUGGACAAUGGGCGCAAGCCUGAUCCAGCCAUGCCGCGUGUGUGAAGAAGGCUUUCGGGUUGUAAAGCACUUUCAGUGAGGAAGAACGCCUUGGGGCUAAUACCCCCGAGGAAGGACAUCACUCACAGAAGAAGCACCGGCUAACUCCGUGCCAGCAGCCGCGGUAAUACGGAGGGUGCGAGCGUUAAUCGGAAUUACUGGGCGUAAAGCGCGCGUAGGCGGCGUGAUAAGCCGGUUGUGAAAGCCCCGGGCUCAACCUGGGAACGGCAUCCGGAACUGUCAGGCUAGAGUGCAGGAGAGGAAGGUAGAAUUCCCGGUGUAGCGGUGAAAUGCGUAGAGAUCGGGAGGAAUACCAGUGGCGAAGGCGGCCUUCUGGACUGACACUGACGCUGAGGUGCGAAAGCGUGGGUAGCAAACAGGAUUAGAUACCCUGGUAGUCCACGCCGUAAACGAUGUCGACUAGCCGUUGGGGUCC
rnacentral:rRNA from 1 species